CAGCAGCCGCGGGAACACGAAGGGUGCAAGCGUUAAUCGGAAUUACUGGGCGUAAAGCGUGCGUAGGCGGUUUGUUAAGUCUGUUGUGAAAUCCCCGGGCUCAACCUGGGAACGGCAAUGAAUACUGGCAAGCUAGAGUGUGUCAGAGGAUGGUGGAAUUCCCGGUGUAGCGGUGAAAUGCGUAGAGAUCGGGAGGAACAUCAGUGGCGAAGGCGGCCAUCUGGGACAACACUGACGCUGAGGCACGAAAGCGUGGGGAGCAAACAGGAUUAGAUACCCCAGUAGUCCCUGUCUCUUAUAC
rnacentral:rRNA from 1 species